CUUUACUGUAGCUUUGUAUUGGACUUUGAACAGAUCUGUGUAGGAUAGGUGGGAGGCUUUGAAGCGGUGCCGCUAGGUAUCGUGGAGCCAACGUUGAAAUACCACCCUGGUGUGUUUGAGGUUCUAACCUAGGUCCAUUAUCUGGAUCGGGGACAGUGCAUGGUAGGCAGUUUGACUGGGGCGGUCUCCUCCCAAAGCGUAACGGAGGAGUUCGAAGGUACGCUAGUUACGGUCGGACAUCGUGACGAUAGUGCAAUGGCAUAAGCGUGCUUAACUGCGAGACUGACAAGUCGAGCAGAUGCGAAAGCAGGACAUAGUGAUCCGGUGGUUCUGUAUGGAAGGGCCAUCGCUCAACGGAUAAAAGGUA
rnacentral:rRNA from 1 species